ensembl:lncRNA uncharacterized LOC108961543
UGAAGGCUUGGGGUGAAGAAGAAGGGAUGCCGAAGGCUCGAAGUGGGGGUGACAUGCAUUUUGGCCCUCCAAACCCUGGCAUGCUCCAGGAGGAGAGUAAAGGCUCCCCUGCCAUGCCAGCAACCCCUCAAUACCGAGGACACCUGGGAAGGCUCCUGCUUGGAGAGGGGAAUGGAAACCUCCUUGGGAGAUGGACAGGACAGCACGGCAUGGCUUGGGGGCCAGGCACCAAAGAGGAAGAUGGAUGCGUGGGACAGAUACAAACUCCUGCCAGGAAUCUUGCCCUUGGCUCCUCGCCGACCUGGCCUGCCAGAGCCCCGGCAGCUGGCUGAUUCCCAAGGGGAAUAAUGAGCUUUGGUUUCCAUCUACCCCUCAGAGACAGUGGCAGAGAGGAGCAGAGCACACAAGCAGACAGCUCCAGCCACAAAGGUGAGGGGGAAUUAUCCUGUGAAAUGAUACAUGUGGGGGUAGCUUCUCUCACUGACUGCCUGCAGGGCUGUCCCCAGCAGCAACGGCCCCUGUUGGCUUAAUUCAGUCUCUACAGCCACUGGUGUCAAUAAAGAAGUUAAAAAAUAAGUUUUAAAAGGCCUG